rnacentral:rRNA from 1 species
GUCUAUUUGAAGGUAUAAGAAGUCAGGCCUGCCCACUGAUUAAGUUUUUAAGGGCCGCGGUAUUAUGACCGUGCAAAGGUAGCAUAAUCAUUAGGUUUUUAAAUGGAAUCUCGUAUGAAUGGUCAGACAAAGGAAAAGCUGUCUUUAUUUUAAAGUUUGAAUUUUACUUUUAAGUGAGAAGGCUUAAAUUUAUUAGAGGGACGAUAAGACCCUAUAAAGCUUUACAUAGGAAUUAUAUUUAAUUAAAUUUUAAAUAAAAAUUUAAUAUAGAUAUAUUGUUUUAUUGGGGAGAUAGAAGUAUAAAUGAUGUUAACUGCUUAAAUGGAAAACAUUUAUUUAUGAAUUAUAAUAAUUUUAAAAGAUCUUAUAGAUGAUAUAGAAAAAAGAUUAAGUUACUUUAGGGAUAACAGUGUAAUUUUUUUUGAGAGUUCAUAUUGAAAAAAAAGUUUACAACCUCGAUGUUGAAUUAAAAUAUCUAUAUAAUGUAGUUGUUAUAUAAGAAGGUCUGUUCGACCU